GAUGAACGCUGGCGGCGUGCCUAAUACAUGCAAGUCGAGCGAACAGACGAGGAGCUUGCUCUUCUGACGUUAGCGGCGGACGGGUGAGUAACACGUGGAUAACCUACCUAUAAGACUGGGAUAACUUCGGGAAACCGGAGCUAAUACCGGAUAAUAUAUUGAACCGCAUGGUUCAAUAGUGAAAGACGGUUUUGCUGUCACUUAUAGAUGGAUCCGCGCCGCAUUAGCUAGUUGGUAAGGUAACGGCUUACCAAGGCAACGAUGCGUAGCCGACCUGAGAGGGUGAUCGGCCACACUGGAACUGAGACACGGUCCAGACUCCUACGGGAGGCAGCAGUAGGGAAUCUUCCGCAAAGGGCGAAAGCCUGACGGAGCAACGCCGCGUGAGUGAUGAAGGUCUUCGGAUCGUAAAACUCUGUUAUUAGGGAAGAACAAAUGUGUAAGUAACUAUGCACGUCUUGACGGUACCUAAUCAGAAAGCCACGGCUAACUACGUG
rnacentral:rRNA from 1 species